CACGUAGUUAGCCGGGGCUUCUUACUCAGGUACCGUCAUCUUCUUCCCUGCUGAUAGAGCUUUACAUACCGAAAUACUUCUUCACUCACGCGGCGUUGCUGCAUCAGGGUUUCCCCCAUUGUGCAAUAUUCCCCGCUGCUGCCUCCCGUAGGAGUUUGGGCCGUGUCUCAGUCCCAAUGUGGCCGGUCACCCUCUCAGGUCGGCUACUGAUCGUCGCCUUGGUGGGCCGUUACCCCUCCAACUAGCUAAUCAGACGCGGGUCCAUCUCAUACCACCGGAGUUUUUCACACAAGAACAUGCAUCCUCGUGCGCUUAUGCGGUAUUAGCAGUCAUUUCUAACUGUUAUCCCCCUGUAUGAGGCAGGUUACCCACGCGUUACUCACCCGUCCGCCACUCAGUCAAUCUAGCUUCCAUCCGAAAACUUCCGCUAAACUCGCUUCGUUCGACUUGCAUGUGUUAAGCACGCCGCCAGCGUUCAUCCUGACGCCAGGACUCAAACUUC
rnacentral:rRNA from 1 species